rnacentral:sRNA from 1 species
GCCGGGCGAGGUGGCGGGCGCCUGUAGUCCCAGCUACUCCGGAGGCUGAGGCAGGAGAAUCGCUUGAACCCAGGAAGUGGGGGUUGCAGUGAGGUGAGAUCAUGCCACUGCACUCCAGCCUGGAUGACAAAGCGAGACUCUGUCUCAA